AAAAACAUGUCUCUUAGAAAUUAUUAAGAGUCAGGCCUGCCCAGUGAUUGCUUUUUAACGGCCGCGGUACCCUGACCGUGCAAAGGUAGCAUAAUCAUUUGCCUUUUAAUUGAAGGCUGGUAUGAAUGGUUUGACGAGAGUAAAGCUGUCUCACAUAUGCUUAAUAAAAAUUAAUUUAAAGGUGCAAAAGCCUUUAUAAAUCAAAAAGACGAGAAGACCCUGUUGAGCUUUAAUUUAAACCAAGUAUUAACUAUAUAUUUAUAUAAUUUAUAUACUUAGUAAAAAUUUUAAUUGGGGCGAUUAAGGAACACUCAAAAGCUUCCUGACUAUUUCUUCUACAAUAUUCUAUAAAUUAGAUCGAUCCAGCAAUGCUGAUCAACAAAAUGAGUUACCACAGGGAUAACAGCAUAAUUCUUUUUGAGAGCUCAUAUCGAAAAAAGAGAUUGUGACCUCGAUGUUGGACUAGGGUAACCGGAAGGUGCAGCCGCUUUCCCGCUUGGUCUGUUCGACCAAUAAUUCCCUACGUGAUCUGAGUUCAGACCGGA
rnacentral:rRNA from 1 species